GACGAACGCUGGCGGCGUGCUUAACACAUGCAAGUCGAACGGAAAGGCCCUGCUUUUGUGGUUUGCUCGAUUGCCGAACGGGUGAGUAACACGUGUGUAACCUGCCCUUGACUUUGGGAUAACUUCAGGAAACUGGGGCUAAUACCGGAUAGGAUCUCCUGCUGCAUGGUGGGGGUUGGAAAGUUUCGGCGGUUGGGGAUGGACUCGCGGCUUAUCAGCUUGUUGGUGGGGUAGUGGCUUACCAAGGUUUUGACGGGUAGCCUGCCUGAGAGGGUGACCGGCCACAUUGGGACUGAGAUACGGACCAGACUCCUACGGGAGGCAGCAGUGGGGAAUAUUGCAGAAUGGGCGGAAGCCUGAUGCAGCAACGCCGCGUGCGGGAUGACGGCCUUCGGGUUGUAAACCGCUUUCGCCUGUGACGAAGCGUGAGUGACGGUAAUGGGUAAAGAAGCACCGGCUAACUACGUG
rnacentral:rRNA from 1 species